rnacentral:hammerhead_ribozyme from 1 species
AUCCAGCUGACCAAUCCUAAAUAGGAUGAGACGCACGUCCUGAAU